GACGAACCGUGCGAACGUUGUUCGGAAUCACUGGGCUUAAAGGGCGCGUAGGCGGCUCGCGAGGUCGGGGGUGAAAUCCCACGGCUUAACCGUGGAAGGGCCUUCGAUACCGGCGGGCUCGAGGAAGGUAGGGGUGCGCGGAACUUCUGGUGGAGCGGUGAAAUGCGUUGAUAUCAGAAGGAACGCCGGCGGCGAAAGCGGCGCACUGGACCUUUUCUGACGCUGAGGCGCGAAAGCCAGGGGAG
rnacentral:rRNA from 1 species